AACGAACGCUGGCGGCAUGCCUAACACAUGCCAGUCGAACGAGCCCUUCGGGGUUAGUGGCGCACGGGUGCGUAACGCGUGGGAAUCUGCCCUUGGGUUCGGAAUAACAGUGAGAAAUUACUGCUAAUACCGGAUGAUGUCUUCGGACCAAAGAUUUAUCGCCCAAGGAUGAGCCCGCGUAGGAUUAGCUAGUUGGUGGGGUAAUGGCCUACCAAGGCGACGAUCCUUAGCUGGUCUGAGAGGAUGAUCAGCCACACUGGGACUGAGACACGGCCCAGACUCCUACGGGAGGCAGCAGUGGGGAAUAUUGGACAAUGGGCGAAAGCCUGAUCCAGCAAUGCCGCGUGAGUGAUGAAGGCCUUAGGGUUGUAAAGCUCUUUUACCCGGGAUGAUAAUGACAGUACCGGGAGAAUAAGCGCCGGCUAACUCCGUG
rnacentral:rRNA from 1 species